rnacentral:rRNA from 1 species
AGAUUGAACGCUGGCGGAAUGCUUUACACAUGCAAGUCGAGCGGCAGCGCGGGGGCAACCCUGGCGGCGAGCGGCGAACGGGUGAGUAAUACAUCGGAACGUGUCCUGGAGUGGGGGAUAGCUCGGCGAAAGCCGGAUUAAUGCCGCAUAAGCUCUGAGGAGGAAAGCGGGGGAUUCGCAAGGACCUCGCGCUGUUGGAGCGGCCGAUGUCGGAUUAGCUAGUUGGUGGGGUAAAGGCCCACCAAGGCGACGAUCCGUAGCUGGUCUGAGAGGAUGAUCAGCCACACUGGAACUGAGACACGGUCCAGACUCCUACGGGAGGCAGCAGUGGGAAUUUUGGACAAUGGGGGCAACCCUGAUCCAGCCAUUCCGCGUGAGUGAAGAAGGCCUUCGGUGUAAAGCUCUUUCGGACGGAACGAAAUGGUUACGGCUAACACCUGUGACUGAUGACGGUACCGUAAGAAGAAGCACCGCUAACUACGUGCCAGCAGCCGACGUAACG